rnacentral:sRNA from 1 species
GCAGCGCCUAGGGUAGCUCCCGAAAGCCUGAAACCCUAUCAGGCUGGCGCUGUAUUGAUCAGGGG